UACAGAGGGUGCGAGCGUUAAUCGGAAUUACUGGGCGUAAAGCGUGCGUAGACGGCUAUCUAAGUCGGGUGUGAAAGCCCCGGGCUCAACCUGGGAAUGGCGAUGGAUACUGGCUCGCUAGAGUGCGGUAGAGGAGAGUGGAAUUCCCGGUGUAGCAGUGAAAUGCGUAGAGAUCGGGAGGAACAUCAGUUGCGAAGGCGGCUCUCUGGGACGGUACUGACGCUGAGACGCGAAAGCGUGGGGAGCGAACAGG
rnacentral:rRNA from 1 species